UUAGCAUCCUCUGCUACACCGUCAGGAGGCUACUGCAGUCAUCCGGGGGGAGGGAAGGUUGGCUGACACCAGGCAGUGUGGAGGACGGUUGGAUUCUACACUAUUUUGAAGAGUGGCUGGUUCAAGAAGGAUCUGCUGUUGUGAGAGGUCGGAGAGGCGGAGCAUGACUGGGUCUCCGAAAUGGUCACAGAAAAAGAAAAAGAACUGUGCUAUAGGCAGCAAGAUACACCAAAGCCAGUCUCUGAAAGCCAAAUUGUUGCCAGGUCACCUGCUCGCUCUCCAUCCGCACACCCUCGAGAUCUCCGUGGGCCAUAUCCUUUCUUCUUCUCUUCUUUCUGCGUGGAGCUUGGACGUGAUGGUG